CCUGUAUCAUGAUUACAAGGAACUAGCCAGCACAUAUAUGGAACUCUUGGGCCAGUGACAGGAUCACCAACUCUGUCACAGUGUGCCAAGCCUCAACUGCUCUACAAGACCUCUUCUAGUCUUCACCUCACUACCUGAUUCCCAUUUAUACACGAACUUUGGCUGCCAGCAUGAAGUAUAUUCUUGAUCACCACUGGAAAACAGCUUCUGUGUGGGUCUCUCCAUGCUGUUUAUGAUGAUCUCAAAUUCAGGCAAUGAGGACUUUCUGCUCUCCCAAGUUCCGAGAAGCUUUUCCUGAAUACAGUUACCAUAUCUAGCUGGUGGUAUAGUAAACCCUG
rnacentral:lncRNA from 1 species